UAGGGAAUCUUCCACAAUGGACGCAAGUCUGAUGGAGCAACGCCGCGUGAGUGAAGAAGGUUUUCGGAUCGUAAAGCUCUGUUGUUGGUGAAGAAGGAUAGAGGCAGUAACUGGUCUUUAUUUGACGGUAAUCAACCAGAAAGUCACGGCUAACUACGUGCCAGCAGCCGCGGUAAUACGUAGGUGGCAAGCGUUGUCCGGAUUUAUUGGGCGUAAAGCGAGCGCAGCCGGAAUGAUAAGACUGAUGGGAAAGCCCACGGCUCAACCGUGGAACUGCAUCGGAAACUGUCAUUCUUGAGUGCAGAAGAGGAGAGUGGAAUUCCAUGUGUAGCGGUGGAAUGCGUAGAUAUAUGGAAGAACACCAGUGGCGAAGGCGGCUCUCUGGUCUGCAACUGACGCUGAGGCUCGAAAGCAUGGGUAGCGAACAGG
rnacentral:rRNA from 1 species